GCCAGAUUAGCUCAGUUGGUAGAGCAGCAGUUUUGUAACCUGCAGGUCACCUGUUCAAGUCAGGUAUCUGGCUCCA
rnacentral:tRNA from 1 species